rnacentral:RNase_P_RNA from 1 species
CGAGGUGGCCGGGCGGCCGCGAGGGGCUGGCCCCUUCGAGGAAAGUCCGGACUCCACAGGGCAGGGUGGUUGCUAACCGCAACCCGGGGUGACCCGCGGGAAAGUGCCACAGAAAACAGACCGCCCCGGUCACGAGCCGGGGUAAGGGUGAAACGGUGGUGUAAGAGACCACCAGCGUCCCGGGUGACCGGGACGGCUCGGUAAACCCCACCCGGAGCAAGGUCAAGAGGACGCCCCCGGGCGUCUGCGCAGGCGUUCGAGGGCUGCCCGCCCGAGCCUGCGGGUAGGCCGCUCGAGCCUGCCGGCAACGGCAGGCCUAGAUGGAUGGCCGCCGCCCGCCGCGCCGCGAGGCGCCAGGGCACAGGAUCCGGCUUACAGGCCAGCUCGUCCG